AUUGAACGCUGGCGGCAUGCCUAACACAUGCAAGUCGAACGGCAGCACAGUAAAGACUUCGGUCUUUAUGGGUGGCGAGUGGCGGACGGGUGAGUAACGCGUAGGAAUCUGUCCUGGAGAGUGGGAUAACCCGAGGAAACUCGGGCUAAUACCGCAUGAUAUCGAGAGAUCAAAGGCAGGGGACCCUUCGGGGCCUUGCGCUCUAGGUUGAGCCUACGUCGGAUUAGCUAGUUGGUGGGGUAAAGGCCUACCAAGGCGACGAUCCGUAGCUGGUCUGAGAGGAUGACCAGCCACACUGGGACUGAGACACGGCCCAGACUCCUACGGGAGGCAGCAGUGGGGAAUCUUGGACAAUGGGGGAAACCCUGAUCCAGCGAUGCCGCGUGUGUGAAGAAGGCCUUCGGGUUGUAAAGCACUUUAGGUGGGGAAGAAAGGUAAUGAGUGAAUAACUGAUUGCUUUGACGGUACCCGCAGAAUAAGCACCGGCUAACUCUGUGCCAGCCGCCGCGGUAA
rnacentral:rRNA from 1 species